UACAGAGGAGCCAAGCGUUGUCCGGAUUGACUGGGCGUAAAGCGCACGCAGGCGGACGCGCGCGUGGGGUGUGAAAUCUGGCCGCUUAACGGCCAGGCGCCAUCCCAUACGGCGCGUCUGGAGUGAUGCAGAGGUCGGUGGAAUUGCCGGUGUAGUGGUGAAAUGCGUAGAGAUCGGCAGGAACACCCAGGGGGAAACCAGCCGACUGGGCAUCUACUGACGCUGAGGUGCGAGAGCGUGGGGAGCAAACCGG
rnacentral:rRNA from 1 species